GCAGAAAGUAAUGUGGGGUUAGAAGUGAAAAGAGAAUUUAUGACAUCUACUCUAACUUCCCCUAGGAGUGGGAGACACCUGUUUCCAUUUUAUGCUUACAGGUGUCUGUUUCCUGGUGGAACAUGGUUGUCCCUGGAGAAAGCUGGAUGAAUCUUAAACUGAGAGGCUUCCAGUGAAAUGUUACUGUUUUACGUACGCAUGUGGAUAACCACUGUAGAAUUGUCCUUAUUAGAGCUAGACUGAAGCAGCAGUGUUUAGAUUUGAUAGAUACAGUCUAAGAUUUGAGGUCAGGGUUGCAACUGAGCCAAACCCAUUUGGGAUGAUUCGCAUCAGAGACCCUCACUAGGAUCUAUGAUUACAGAAUUGUAAAAUUGCCAACUGGUUAAUCUCAACUUGAUCUAGAGGAAGAAAAUACUGGAAAAAAUUCAUGGUAGUUUCCGUGUUGAGAGGGUAAGCGUUGGCUCCAUCUUUAACUGUUGUGGUUUUAGUGGCCAUGCAGCUUGCCUGUCUUUCUGGGGAGCUGCGCCUGUGGGACCACUCAGAGCUGGAGCCUAUGGGUGGCUGAUGCACUUUACUUAUGGAAUCAUAUUCCUGGCAGAGACAUUUGAAGUGAUCAGGGGCUUUUACAGACAUAUAAUAGUUACAAAAGUUGUUUAUUGCCAGCACCAUGUAAUCACUGAGAAUAGUGGCUAUUAUCCUCCUCACCCUGCUAACUCCUUAAGGAUCAGAAAAUGUAGAAGUUCUACCUAAUUUUCUUCUCUGAUCUUCCCUUGGCAGUUCUUUAAUACAACGGUUGUGCAGUUGGGAGUGAGGAGACUGAUGUGGGUGUCAUUCAAGGGAUUUAAAUGUGUUUUCCAAAAGGAAAAUGAAACGGCCUGCUUGGUGCAGCACGCUUCCAAAGAUGGAAAGUCCUUUCAAGUGAUUAGUUCCCUUCACCUGUGAAAAGACAGACAUCGUUAAUAUUCUUCUAGGACAUUUUGAACACCUGGAGCACAUCCCAGCUGUCCUGAGCCCAGAACACCAUAAGCGGGCUGAGAGCAAGCUCUUUUUGUCUAGAAAGAAAUAGAGCUGCUCCAAGUCUCUGUCACCUUGGAGCUUCCUUUAGGGCAGAGGAUCUGCCAGAUCUGUCAGCCAGGCAAUAAGUGUGCUUCCACGCAGUUUGGAAAAUAGAGAUUUUUUUCCUUAGAGACAUUAUAGCAAAUGUUGGCUGUGACAGGACUAGUUUACACUUUCCAAACCCUCCUGGUUCUAAGUUUAUCUUGCAACAGAGCCAAGAGUGGUAUUACAAAAAUGUCUACAGAUAGCCAUUUUGUGUUUGUGCAUGUGCCUGAGUACACCUGUAAUUCCUGAUUACAUGCCAAAAUAGUCAGAAAGCUCUUUUUGUGUGUGUGAGAUGAUUUGAGAAGUAUGACUUCUCACUAGCAAAGAGCCAGAUCUACUACAACAUGAUUACGAAGAAAGAAAUGUUUGACUUGGUUACAGCUUCUUCAUUUAUGAGGACAUCUAAUAAGUUUUUUGGCCAGAAGUUUCUGUGAAAUUGUAUUUUCUGAAAAUGGUAACUGUUGGUUCUUGCAGUGAGGAGCAUUUUACACAUGCUGAAUACCACAAGGUGCUUUACAGAGGUGGGUCUCUCUGAAAGGAGAGGGAAACCCUGGCUUGGUGACUCGCUCUAGAGGGUAUUUGAAGCCAGUGGCAGAUCUAGGUUUAUUAUUAAGACUUACUGGUUUCUUGCGCUAUCAUAGCACCCACACAGAGACCAGGACUCCAGUGCACCAGUUUUUCAGAGCACAAACUUUACCUCUGCUUAGGCAGUCCCCUGGAGAGCUGAGAGAAAGGAGAGGUCACCCGCUGCACUGCCAUGUUGCCUAGAAAAGCAGCAUCCAAGCUGUUUUAAACACACUUCAGAAAGUCUUUGCUUCACUUUGCUGGCGCUGAACAGCCUCAGUCGCAAGGGUGCUACAUGGCAGAGGGUCGUGCGUACAGAAAGGUGAUCCACGAGGGCAGGACCUGCCUGGUGUCCUCUGGACCACAGCCUGGAGCUGGGAUGUGCCUGAUUCCAGAGCAACCUCUCAGAAAGCAAUUUUUUUGCAUUAAGAGUCAGAGCAGCAGCUGGAUGGCCCUACAACAGGCUGUCCUUUCAUAUACAUCCUUCCUGCAGGCUGGGGCUGAGUGCUCCUUGUCACUAACAGGCAUGUUGCUGUGUUUUAUACCCUGCCUUGCCACAGGGAAAUCAAGGAGAUGAUAGUGAGGGAAAGAAGUAAAUGUGGGGAGAUUUUGCAUUAGUAGGGUGGGUCAUGUGCCCCACUAUGUCUGCUCUUCUCACAGAAACCUUCACAACAAAACAGAACAAUAUGGCAGGAGAAUAAAAGAAGUGUGUAUGCUCUUAAUACCACAAACCAGGCACAAAGCUGUCUGUGAAUAGCAGCCUGGAUGUUGCCUGUUCUUUCAAUAAGCUGCACAGCACAUUACAGCAUCAUGACAGCCACUAGUGCAGCCCUGAGGAAAGGCUGCAUUCCCGUCUCCACGUCUCUGAUGCAGCUCCAAUAAAGUCAGCGGGGUUUCACCAACAUCUUCUGAUCAUGUCUCUCCAGUAAAUGGUUUUCAGGUUGCUCUUAAAAAUGAUGGAGCCAAAAUAAGCACCAAGGGCCAUCAAUUCUCAAACUCCCAUGUACUUCAAUUAGAGAAAGCUAAGGAGCCUGCACUAUGCAAUUAGCUACUGUACGCCAGGGUCCAUGACUAAGCUUGUGGGAGUUAAGCACAUGUAUAAAUACUUGUUGGAUUAGGGUUUAUGGUUAGAGAAAAUCCUUCCAACUGAAAAAAACUUCCUAUCAGGAUCUAACUCUUAAACAGUUUUAGUGGGAGGAGGGUGCAGUCAAGUUCCUACAGCAGGUCUUCUCAUCUAAUGUAACUAGCUCAAUGCAGGACUUGGCAUAUCCUAAGCAAUUGUUUGUAGCUCCUGCACAGCACAUCUGCUUUGGGAGCUGAUUUGUGACAGAAAUCCGCUUGAAUGGAGAUGGUAAAUUUGAUUUACUUGUGAAAAAGAAGUGAAGAAUUCCACAGCAGAACAAUCUGGGUCACAAUGUACUUUGGAUUACAAGAUUUAGUACAGAAAAAAGGCCCAAACCACAUAAUUCAGAUCCAACUUUCAAGCAUCAAAAGUUUGAGGUUAAUCAAAACUAGGGUUUAGUUCAUCCAUUCAUGAAGAUGUCUGUGUAGCUUGGAGCUGACCCUGUGCUUUGAUCUUCCCUUCUCCCUUGGGGUCCCCCAGGACUGUUCAAAUCCAGGGAUCAGACCUUUUCCCAGUUUGCAGCAGAAAACCCAAAACCACACAGACAAAAAGCCGUUUAAAGGAGAAGGCAGCUUUGGCAGAAAGAGGCACAAACAGAGAGAACUAGUUGUGGGUCUGUCCUGGGUCUCUGGAAAUGUGCAAGCAGGAGCAGGGUAGAGGGAUGGAUGUUUCAAGGUAAUAUUGAUCUCCCUGAGAGAUUGGAGAGUAGCUGAAGUAAUAAGAGUUUUGUGCAAAUGAAAGAGACCAAACACGGGAAAUGGCACUGGGGGAGAAACAAGAGUUAAGCUCAGAGUUAAUGUGCAGAAACAACAGGAGAAUAAAUCUGAAUUUCCAGAGCAGGAGGCAGGGUUUGUUGUUCAGUGGUGAGCUUGGACUAGACACCUGACAGAGAGGCUGAGCUUGCUAAGGGGUUUCCUGGGUCACGGGGGGAAAGAUUGACCCCCACCUGCUCAUCUCUUUUUGAAAGACAAGCUAAGACAAUGCAUGUGGCUUUGGACUUUGCAGAGGCAUAGCAUGAGUGUUACCCUUAUUGCUAACACACCUAGCAAAGUUGAUGGGGCAGCCUUGGGAAUGGAGCCAAGGAGGACUGGAGCAACGUGCAUGAUGCUCCGCCGGCUGCAUGCCUAAGGCUGCCAGUGGAGGGGGGGGUAGGGAUGUCAGCAAGCCACGGUGCAUACAAAUCACUGGUCUCAGCAGCCAUGCCAUGGUGGGAACUGAUCCUGUCCGCUGAAACCCCCAGGGAGGGUGACCUUUCCCCAGUGGGAGAAACCAGGAGCAGGUGAGCCACGUGGCUGUGGGCUCACAUCUCGUGGGCAUGAGGAAGGGAGAUAUCUUCCAGCCUCCCCUUUGGUGAGGCAGUGCACAGGAGCUGAUCACAGUAUUGCCUGCUGUCUGUUUGCAUGACUGCAACUUUGGGCAAAGAUUGGCUCAGAACUUUGUAAAAGUCAUCAAUGGAAGUCAAGCUCUUCCAUCAUUGCGCUUAUAACACAAAAAAUGUUUCCAAAGCUUCUCCUCUUAAGGAGAACUGACCCUCCCCUCUCCUUUACAGCCCCUUACCUUGUGUUCAUUAUGAAAGCAUUUGACUUUAGGAACAGAGAUAGUUCUCAUGUGAACGCAUACACAAAAGAAAACAAGUACAACACCCAUUUCUGU